rnacentral:rRNA from 1 species
GACGCUGGCGGCGCGCUUAACACAUGCAAGUCGAGCGAGAACCAGGACUUCGGUCUUGGAGACAGCGGCGAACGGGUGAGUAACACGUGGGUAAUCUGCCCUCGGUUCUGGGAUAGCCCGGGGAAACUCGGAUUAAUACCGGAUAGCCUCUCUGGCCCUCGGGCCGGUGAGAAAAGGUAGCUUCGGCCUCCGACUGAGGAUGAGCCCGCGGCGGAUUAGCUUGUUGGCGGGGCAACGGCCCACCAAGGCGACGAUCCGUAGCUGGUCUGAGAGGACGAUCAGCCACACUGGGACUGAGACACGGCCCAGACUCCUACGGGAGGCAGCAGUGGGGAAUCUUGCGCAAUGGGCGAAAGCCUGACGCAGCGACGCCGCGUGAGGGAAGAAGGCCUUCGGGUUGUAAACCUCUUUCAGGAGGGACGAAGCCACUCGGGUUAAUAGCCCAGAGGGUGACGGUACCUCCAGAAGAAGCCCCGGCUAACUACGUGCCAGCCGCCGCGGUAAUAC